CGGCAACAGCUCAAAUUUGAAAUCUGCCAUCAGGCCGAAUUGUAAUUUGUAGAGGAUGCUUUGGAGAAGUACUCGGUCUAAGUUCCUUGGAACAGGACGUCAUAGAGGGUGAGAAUCCCGUAUGUGGCCUUGAUACCAUCCGUGUAAAGCUCCUUCGAC
rnacentral:rRNA from 1 species